UACAGAGGUCUCAAGCGUUGUUCGGAUUCAUUGGGCGUAAAGGGUGCGUAGGCGGCGCGGUAAGUCGGGUGUGAAAUCUCUGGGCUCAACCCAGAGUCUGCAUCGAAAACUGUCGGGCUUGAGUAUGGGAGAGGUGAGUGGAAUUUCCGGUGUAGCGGUGAAAUGCGUAGAUAUCGGAAGGAACACCUGUGGCGAAAGCGGCUCACUGGACCAUUACUGACGCUGAUGCACGAAAGCUAGGGGAGCAAACAGG
rnacentral:rRNA from 1 species